rnacentral:ribozyme from 1 species
UUAUUUUUGUUUUUGUUGGAGAUGGUAUAAAUAAAAGGAAAGAAAUAAAGAAUGAUAAGAUAACUU